UCCUGUGUGGCUCAGUUGGUAGAGCAUGGUGCUUGCAACGCCAUGGUUGUGGGUUUGAUUCCCACGAAGGGCCCAUAUGAA